rnacentral:rRNA from 1 species
CGUGUAGGCGGUGCGGUAAGUUGGGCGUGAAAUCCCCGAGCUUAACUCGGGUGGGCCGUUCAAGACUGCCGUGCUAGGGUGCGGGAGAGGGAAGUGGAAUUUCCGGUGUAGCGGUGAAAUGCGUAGAUAUCGGGAGGAACACCUGCGGCGAAGGCGGCUUCCUGGACCGUAACCGACGCUGAGGCGCGAAAGCUAGGGGAGCAAACAGGAUUAGAUACCCUGGUAGUCCUAGCCCUAAACGAUGAGCACUGGGUGUGGUCCCUCGACGGGGCCGUGCCGAAGCUAACGCAUUAAGUGCUCCGCCUGGGGAGUACGGUCGCAAGGCUAGAA